AGGUUGACCUCGGAUCAGGUAGGGAUACCCGCUGAACUUAAGCAUAUCAAUAAGCGGAGGAAAAGAAACCAACAGGGAUUGCCUCAGUAACGGCGAGUGAAGCGGCAAGAGCUCAAAUUUGAAAGCUGGCCCCUUCGGGGUCCGCAUUGUAAUUUGCAGAGGAUGCUUCGGGAGUGGCCCCCAUCUAAGUGCCCUGGAACGGGCCGUCAUAGAGGGUGAGAAUCCCGUCUGGGAUGGGGUGCCCGCGCCCGUGUGAAGCUCCUUCGACGAGUCGAGUUGUUUGGGAAUGCAGCUCUAAAUGGGUGGUAAAUUUCAUCUAAAGCUAAAUACUGGCCGGAGACCGAUAGCGCACAAGUAGAGUGAUCGAAAGAUGAAAAGCACUUUGAAAAGAGAGUUAAACAGCACGUGAAAUUGUUGAAAGGGAAGCGCUUGCGACCAGACUCGCCCGCAGGGUUCAGCCGGCAUUCGUGCCGGUGUACUUCCCCGCGGGCGGGCCAGCGUCGGUUUGGGCGGCCGGUCAAAGGCCCUCGGAAUGUAACGCCCCCCGGGGCGUCUUAUAGCCGAGGGUGCCAUGCGGCCAGCCCGGACCGAGGAACGCGCUUCGGCUCGGACGCUGGCAUAAUGGUCGUAAGCGACC
rnacentral:rRNA from 1 species